UCUUGCCAUCAGCUAUUGGCCUUACUUGCACCAGUGGAUCAGGAACAGAAUUGGAGCUAUUUUAUCUGGACCUAAUUAAACAACCGUCAUUACUGGCAGGCAGGAUUUUCAUUUAUAAAUAGAAUUAUGUUCUGAAAAUAAAUUACAGUAAGUGAUGCACGGAACUGGGAGCAACAGCACUUUCAUAGAAUUUCAAGCACCUACAUCAGAAGAGAUUAAUAAAAACACUUCAAAGGCUAAAUUCUAUUUAAGCAGAAGACAGCUUUUGGUUAAUAUUUAAUCUGAGCAACGGCGAUUUCAGUUGAAAAUAUAAUUUUUUAAUAUCUAAAUUAAUUUGCAAAACAAAGCCAUUAAUUUAGCCCGAGAGCUUUCACUGUGCAAAAG